rnacentral:rRNA from 1 species
UACGUAGGGUGCAAGCGUUAAUCGGAAUUACUGGGCGUAAAGCGUGCGCAGGCGGCUUUGCAAGACAGAUGUGAAAUCCCCGGGCUUAACCUGGGAACUGCAUUUGUGACUGCAUGGCCAGAGUGCGGCAGAGGGGGAUGGAAUUCCGCGUGUAGCAGUGAAAUGCGUAGAUAUGCGGAGGAACACCGAUGGCGAAGGCGGCCCCCUGGUUGGAUACUGACGCUGAGACGCGAAAGCGUGGGGAGCAAACAGG